CGAACUUCCAACGCUGGGCAGCCUCUUAAGGCUUCUAGGAAUUCGCAUCCUCCGCGCCCCCGCCAACGGAUCGGUUGCGAGAGGGACCGUUCGGGCCCGCGGGGCCGGGAAUGGAGGAGAACCCGGGCGACGGUGGGGCUCUUGGGCAUUCUGAGACUGCGCUUGGUGGAGCCCCCUACUGGCCCGACCGGAUUUCUCAGCCUGCUACUCAGCCCCAGGCUACGCGAAAGAGGCCGGACCCGGAUCAGAAGCAGCAGUGAAGAUUCCAGGACCAGGGAAUGAGAAUCAACAUAAGACAUCCAGGGAGCAGAGGUCAGAAGGCAGGAGUCCCCUCAUCCCAAGGGCUGGGCCAGCAAGCGUCAGCAGCCAGAAAUGUGUGGUGGGUGGAAGGGGCAGAGUGAAGCAGAUGGUCAGAUGGCGAGGAGUCAGCAACCAAGGGAGCCCAGAAGGGCGGACAGGAAAAGAGACCCAAGGCACCAACAGCAGCACAGCCAGGUUGCUGGCACCGAGGCAGCCGCUAGUGGAGCAUCAGCUGCCUUCAUCCUUCCUGCACCCAGAGGAAGCCAAAAUCAGAGAGCCUGGCCCGGAAGCUGGAGUGUUUGUCACUGAAAAUAGUCGACUAAGUCACUGGUGGGAGUAAACACUGCAGAGUAGAGGCUGAAUGUAGGUAGAUAACCCAUCUUGCUUGACGUGACAAAUACUAGUUGCUUCUAGUUGCUCCCCUACCUCCACUUUCUUUAAUAAGGUGGGCUUCAUAUGAAGAAACCCGGUAGGCUGAACAGACACAGUAAGUGGGUGCUUCUCAGCCACCCUCAGAGCUUGCUCAAGCUUCCUUAGGCUGCCCUUCCUGCCACCCGGUUUGUAGUUAUUUAUGCCACCCACAGAGAUGUGACCCAUGUAGCCAAUGGACACUGUCUCAGAAAAAGGGAGCAGGUGGACCCAUUAAGGUCUACCAACAACAGCAGACUCAGACUCUCAACAUGCCUGAGCAAGCCAGUAGACAGGCCUUUGUACCCAAGUGUGAGAUACUACCAGAAGACACUCAUGCCAUUCAACCAGCUCCCUGGUUCCAGCAAAGUCGUUCCAGUGUGCCUAAGAAUAGUGGAGUAGGGCACAGUGCGUUUGCUCUAUACAUUUGCUGACUGAAACUGAGUUCCAGAACCAUUGAAAUCUCACUCUAGAUCAAGGCAGGCCCUGUAUUUGGUAAAGCUUAAGGACCUUUAUUGCAUCACUAAUUAUUCAUUCAUUUAUUCAGUAAACAUUUAUUGAGCACCUACUAUGUGCAGGACACUUUGUUAGGUGCUGGGGACAUAAUAAUGAGCAAAGACAGGCAUGAUCUCAGCCCUUGGUGAGUUCAGGCCUUUGGAGGGUCUCCUAGGGGAGAAAAACACUAAUCAAAUAAUGACAAAUGUGAAACUGUAACUGUUACAGAAACCUCAAGAGAAAGG
rnacentral:lncRNA from 1 species